rnacentral:rRNA from 2 species
UGAGGAAUAUUGCGCAAUGGGGCAACCCUGACGCAGCAACGCCGCGUGAGUGAGGAAGGUUUUCGGACCGUAAAGCUCUGUCGAGCGGGAAGAAAUGCAUGGUGGCUAAUAUCCAUCAUGCUUGACGGUACCGCUAGAGGAAGCACCGGCUAACUCCGUGCCAGCAGCCGCGGUAAUACGGGGGGUGCAAGCGUUGUUCGGAAUUAUUGGGCGUAAAGAGCGUGUAGGCGGCUGAAUAAGUCAGAUGUGAAAUCCCUGGGCUUAACCCAGGACGUGCAUUUGAAACUAUUCAGCUUGAGUAAGGGAGAGGAAAGUGGAAUUCCUGGUGUAGAGGUGAAAUUCGUAGAUAUCAGGAGGAACACCGGUGGCGAAGGCGACUUUCUGGCCCUAUACUGACGCUGAGACGCGAGAGCGUGGGUAGCAAACAGG